UCCCGGUUAACCCGGGCAGUCUCGUUAGAGUUCCCAGCCGAACUGUUGGCAACUAACGACAAGGGUUGCGCUCGUUGCGGGACUUAACCCAACACCUCACGGCACGAGCUGACGACAGCCAUGCAGCACCUGUGCAGCGGUCCCGAAGGAAGGCUCCAUUUCUGGAGUUGUCCACUGCAUGUCAAGCCUAGGUAAGGUUCUUCGCGUUGCAUCGAAUUAAACCACAUGCUCCACUGCUUGUGCGGGUCCCCGUCAAUUCUUUUGAGUUUCACCCUUGCGAGCGUACUCCCCAGGCGGUGUACUUAACGCGUUGGCUACGGCACAAUCGGGGUUGAGUCCGAUUACACCAAGUACACAUCGUUUACGGCUAGGACUAC
rnacentral:misc_RNA from 1 species